UGGAAUAUGCUUGUUUCAAAGAUUAAGCCAUGCAUGUCUGAGCAUGCGCUGAAGUAAAGUGAAGCCGCGAAUAGCUCAUUACAACAGCCGUUGUUUCUUGGAUCUCUUCUCUACUUGGAUAACUGUGGUAAUUCUAGAGCUAAUACAUGCAAUCAAGCCUCGAUCGCAAGUGACGGGCGCAUUUAUUAGAACAAGACCAUCUGGCUUCAAGCCAUUAGUUGGUGACUCUGAAUAACUGAGCCGAUCGCACGGGCUUGUCCCGGCGACGUAUCUUUCAAGUGUCUGCCUUAUCAGGUUUCGUUGGCGGUUUAUGUGACCGCCAAGCCUGUAACGGGUAACGGAGGAUCAGGGUCUGACUCCGGAGAGGGAGCCUGAGAAACGGCUACCACUUCUAAGGAAGGCAGCAGGCGCGCAAAUUACCCAUUCUUGGCUCAAGGAGGUAGUGACGAAAAAUACCAAGGUGAGGCUCAUCGAGCUUGACCAUUGGAAUGAGAACAAUCUAAAUCCUUUAACGAGGAUCUAGU
rnacentral:rRNA from 1 species